GGACCCGCACAAGCGGUGGAGCAUGUGGUUUAAUUCGAUGCAACGCGAAAAACCUUACCUACUCUUGACAUACUUGGGAGCUCUUGUAAUGAGAGUGUGCCUUUUGGAACCAAGAUACAGGUGCUGCAUGGCUGUCGUCAGCUCGUGUCGUGAGAUGUUCCGUUAAGUCGGAUAACGAGCGCAACCCUUACCCUUAUUUGCCAGCGAUUCGGUCGGGAACUAUAAGGGGACUGCCGGUGAUAAACCGGAGGAAGGUGAGGACGACGUCAAGUCAUCAUGGCCCUUACGAGUAGGGCUACACACGUGCUACAAUGGGGAAUACAGACGGACGCUAAGCCGCGAGGUGGUGCUAAUCCUAGAAAGUUUCUCGUAGUCCGGAUUGGAGUCUGCAACUCGACUCCAUG
rnacentral:rRNA from 1 species